rnacentral:sRNA from 1 species
GUGUCUUCACAGAGGAGCGGGCCCGGUUUUAUGGUGCAGAGAUUGUCUCGGCUCUUGAGUACUUGCACUCACGGGACGUGGUAUACCGCGACAUCAAGCUGGAAAACCUCAUGCUGGACAAAGAUGGCCACAUCAAGAUCACUGACUUUGGCCUCUGCAAAGAGGGCAUCAGUGACGGGGCCACCAUGAAAACCUUCUGUGGGACCCCGGAGUACCUGGCGCCUGAGGUGUCUGGGGUUGGCGGGGGUAGGAACGUGUGAGGCCAAGGGUAGGGGGAUCCCCCAGACCUGUGUGUUUCCAGCCCAGAUGCCCUGAGGGCAGGACUGUGAUGCCAGCCUCAGGGCCACGGGCCCAGCCCUCAUUUCUCCUCCAUCCUCAGGUGCUGGAGGACAAUGACUAUGGCCGGGCCGUGGACUGGUGGGGGCUGGGUGUGGUCAUGUACGAGAUGAUGUGCGGCCGCCUGCCCUUCUACAACCAGGACCACGAGCGCCUCUUCGAGCUCAUCCUCAUGGAAGAGAUCCGCUUCCCGCGCACGCUCAGCCCCGAGGCCAAGUCCCUGCUUGCUGGGCUGCUUAAGAAGGACCCCAAGCAGAGGCUUGGUGGGGGGCCCAGCGAUGCCAAGGAGGUCAUGGAGCACAGGUUCUUCCUCAGCAUCAACUGGCAGGACGUGGUCCAGAAGAAGCUCCUGCCACCCUUCAAACCUCAGGUCACGUCCGAGGUCGACACAAGGUACUUCGAUGAUGAAUUUACCGCCCAGUCCAUCACAAUCACACCCCCUGACCGCUAUGACAGCCUGGGCUUACUGGAGCUGGACCAGCGGACCCACUUCCCCCAGUUCUCCUACUCGGCCAGCAUCCGCGAGUGAGCAGUCUGUCCACGCAGAGGACGCACGCUCGCUGCCAUCACCGCUGGGUGGUUUUUUCCCCCUAACUUUUUACUUUGCCUUUUUGGUUUGUGUCCCCACCCCCACCUCCUCACCCCU